AGGCCUUUCUCGGCCUUUUGGCUAAGAUCAAGUGUAGUAUCUAUUCUUAUCAGUUUAAUAUCUGAUAUGUGAACCAUGUGUCCAUAAUGAUAUUAAAUUUAUUUUUUUAUGGGGAAGGAUCCACCAUAAUGGCUUGCCAUUGGGACCCUUAUGUGUUGCCUGGCCGUUGCACUACAGCUCAACCUGGCAGUUGGGUC
rfam:Triticum aestivum genome assembly, contig: Triticum_aestivum_CS42_TGACv1_scaffold_593178_7BS